CCCCUAGAUGUUCUGGGCCGCACGCGCGCUACACUGAACAGUUCAACAAGUCUUAACCUUGGCCGAUAGGUCUGGGUAAUCUUUGAACGCUGUUCGUGAUUGGGAUAGACCUUUGCAAUUAUGGGUCUUCAACGAGGAAUUCCUAGUAAACGCAAGUCAUUAGCUUGCAUUGAUUACGUCCCUGCCCUUUGUACACACCGCCCGUCGCACCUACCGAUUGAAUGGUCCGGUGAAAUCUCGGGACGGCGGCUUGGUCGCUUGCGUCCGACUGCUGAAACUUGAUUAAACCAUAUCAUUUAGAGGAAGGUGAANUCGUANCA
rnacentral:rRNA from 1 species